rnacentral:rRNA from 1 species
CUAUACAGCUUCGGCCACCACCGCUUCCCGUCCCCCUCUGCCUGCACACGCCGAACAGGGGCCCACAUGGAUCUCGAGGCGGCGGCUCCUCCCCGGCCCCGCGGCGGCUCCCCGGCGACCGCCCCACCACCGCCGGCCGACAGAGAGACCGACAAGCUGACUACCUGGGAAUAUACAGCAUAAUGUUUUGGACUCUUACUUUAAUUGGUGUGGUCAAGUAUGUAGGCAUAGCUCUCAAUGCUGAUGACCAUGGUGAAGGUGGUACAUUUGCAAUGUAUUCGUUGUUGUGUAGGCAUGCCGAUAUAGGCAUCCUUCCUUCCAAGAGAGGGUAUUCAGAAGAAGAACCAUUGCUUCGUGAGCAGUCAGCAACAGCUAUAAGGCCUAGUAAGCUGGGCAAGUUCUUUGAGCAAAGCUUAACUGUAAGAAGGGUAUUGUUAUUCAUGGCAAUUCUUGGGAUGUGCAUGCUCAUUGGAGAUGGAAUCCUAACUCCUGCUAUUUCAGUGUUAUCAGCAAUUGAUGGACUGAGAGGACCAUUUCCUUCUGUUAGUAAACCUGUUGUGGAAGCUCUAUCUGCAGCAAUUCUUAUUGGUGUAUUCUUGCUGCAAAAGUAUGGGACUUCAAAAGUGAGCUUUCUGUUUUCUCCAAUCAUGGCAGCAUGGACUUUCACCACUCCAAUCGUUGGAAUAUACAGCAUUGUUCUUUACUACCCAGGCAUCUUCAAAGCCAUUUCGCCACAUUAUAUUGUUCAUUUCUUCCUAAGAAAUAAAAAACAAGGGUGGCAGCUGCUUGGUGGGACUGUUCUAUGUAUCACAGGUGCAGAAGCUAUGUUUGCAGAUCUUGGCCACUUCAGCAAAAAAGCUAUUCAGAUAGCAUUUCUAUCCAGCAUAUAUCCUUCUCUGGUCCUCACUUAUGCCGGGCAAACAGCAUACCUUAUUAACAACGUCAAUGACUUCAGUGAUGGAUUCUACAAAUUUAUCCCUCGGCCAGUUUACUGGCCGAUGUUUGUCAUUGCAACACUAGCAGCAAUUGUUGCAAGCCAGUCCUUAAUAUCGGCAACAUUUUCUGUCAUCAAGCAAUCAGUUGUCCUGGACUACUUUCCACGUGUUAAAGUGGUGCACACAUCACAUCAAAAGGAAGGGGAGGUUUACUCACCAGAAAUUAAUUACAUUCUGAUGGUACUAUGUGUUGGUGUUAUACUAGGCUUUGGAGGUGGAAAGGAGAUAGGGAAUGCUUUUGGUGUUGUUGUCAUCAUGGUCAUGCUCAUAACUACAAUCAUGCUCACUCUCGUGAUGAUCAUCAUAUGGAGAACACCACCUGUUUUUGUCGGCAUGUUUUUCAUUCCAUUCGUCAUUAUGGAAGGGUCCUAUGUCAGUGCCGUUUUCACCAAGAUCCCUGAAGGUGGUUGGCUUCCUUUUGCAGUUUCCAUGAUCCUUGCAUUGAUCAUGUUCGUCUGGUACUAUGGUAGGCAAAGGAAAAUAGAGUACGAAAUGGCGAACAAGAUAACCAUAGAGCACCUUGGUGAGCUCUUGGCAAUGCCUGAGGUCCAGAGGGUCCCGGGCUUGUGCUUCUUCUACAGCAACAUACAGGACGGGCUAACUCCUAUACUUGGCCAUUACAUCAAGAACAUGAGCUCACUGCAUACAGUCACAAUUUUUGUGACCCUGAGGUACCUGCUGGUUUCCAAAGUUGAUCAACGGGAAAGGGUCCUGAUCAAGAGGCUCGGACCUAGGGGGGUGUACCAGUGCACCGUCCAGUAUGGCUACGCUGACAACCUGAGCCUCAAAGGAGGCGAUGAUCUUGUCGCACAGGUUAUGAGAUGCCUGAAGCGGCACAUUGCGAUGAGCACCGACCGGCGUUCAUCUGUCUCUACGGAGGAAGAGAUCGCCAACCUGGAGGCGGCGAGUUUGGCCGGGGUGGUGCAUGUCCGGGGCAAGAUGAGGUUCUAUGUGGGUGACGAUGCCGGCUGUUUUGACAAGGUCAUGCUCCGAUUCUAUGAAUUCUUGCAUAGCAUCUGCAGAUCGGCACUGCCAGCUCUCGGGAUGCCUCUGCAGCAGCGAGUUGAGAUCGGCAUGUUGUACAAGGUUUGAGGCGCUGCAUCAACUGUUUUUUGUAUGAAUCUCAUGAAAAUGGUCACUCUCCAUACUAUACCGUCAUGUCGGAAAUGUCAUUUGUGUUGGCCACGCCAUAUUUUUUGCAAGCAAUGACACGGUUGGUGCACAUCUUUUGUGAAGAAUUUUGAACUGACAUUUAGAAGACAAGUGGGCCUGAACUAUUGGAUUAUCUGGCAUCUCAAUUCCUGGUAUAUAAGACAUAAGAGUGAUGGCACGAAAGUUGGGCCAACAAAGCGGGAGAAGGGUACCGUGAAGUCAGCGAAAAAUGCCACCAUGUCUCCUGUAAGAAAUUCUGGGAAGGUUUGACCAGUUCAGUAGGAAACCUGUCAAGAACUCAAGAUUUAUUAUGUUUCAUUUGGGAUCUUAUUUUUGUUAGCCAAACUUGAGGCGUAUCAUCUUAUUAUGAAAAAAAUGGAAGAGAACAACUUCCCCAGUAUCUGAUCUCUGGAUUCAAAGAUGAACCAAUUAUUACAUUGUCGCAAUCUCUCCCUAAUAAUAAAGCACGGAUUGGGUCUCCGGAUUCACCGUCACAGUGCGCUUCUUUCCGUGAUUUUACGCUUUCAAUUUUAAUUUUAAAAUAUAUUCAAGGUGGUACUAAUUCAGAUGGCC